UACGUAGGCAGCGAGCGUUGUUCGGAAUUACUGGGCGUAAAGAGUGUGUAGGCGGUGUUCCCAGUCUGUUGUGAAAUCUCCCGGCUUAAUUGGGAGGGUGCAGCGGAAACUAGAAUGCUAGAGGGUGGGAGAGGUAAGCGGAAUUCCUGGUGUAGCGGUGAAAUGCGUAGAUAUCAGGAGGAACACCUGUGGUGUAGACAGCUUACUGGACCACUUCUGACGCUGAGACACGAAAGCGUGGGUAGCAAACAGG
rnacentral:rRNA from 1 species